CGGCAUGCCUAAGACAUGCAAGUCGAACGAGGUGGCCCACUGACUGAUAUGAAACGGAGUGCUUGCACAAAGUUGGAUUAUUAUGAUGUGGAUUUCCACCUAGUGGCAAACGGGUGAGUAACACAUGGGUUACCUGCCUCUAAGUUGGGGGAUAACAGUUGGAAACGAUUGCUAAUACCGAAUAUGAUCUACGGAUUAAAGUUCCCCUUAAAGGAACGCUUAGAGAUGGGCCUGUGGCGUAUUAGCUAGUUGGUGGGGUAAUGGCCUACCAAGGCAACGAUGCGUAGCCGAGCUGAGAGGUUAAUCGGCCACACUGGGACUGAGACACGGCCCAGACUCCUACGGGAGACAGCAGUUAGGAAUAUUCGUCAAUGGGGGAAACCCUGAACGAGCAAUGCCGCGUGAAUGAAUGACGGCCCUAUGGGUUGUAAAAUUCUGUUGUUUGGAAAGAAUGAUAAGAUUAGGAAAUGAUUCUUAUUUGACGGUACCAUUCAAGAAAGGUCCGGCUAACUACGUGCCAGCCGCAGC
rnacentral:rRNA from 1 species